CAGUCGCCGCGGGAAAACGUGGGUCCCGAGCGUUGUCCGGAUUUAUUGGGCGUAAAGCGAGCGCAGGCGGUUUCUUAAGUCUGAUGUGAAAGCCCCCGGCUCAACCGGGGAGGGUCAUUGGAAACUGGGAAACUUGAGUGCAGAAGAGGAGAGUGGAAUUCCACGUGUAGCGGUGAAAUGCGUAGAGACGUGGAGGAACACCAGUGGCGAAGGCGACUCCCUGGUCUGUAACUGACGCUGAGGAGCGAAAGCGUGGGGAGCGAACAGGAUUAGAGACCCCAGUAGUCCCUGUCUCUUAUAC
rnacentral:rRNA from 1 species